rnacentral:rRNA from 1 species
GAUGAACGCUGGCGGCGUGCCUAAUACAUGCAAGUCGAGCGAACAGACGAGGAGCUUGCUCCUCUGACGUUAGCGGCGGACGGGUGAGUAACACGUGGAUAACCUGCCUAUAAGACUGGGAUAACUUCGGGAAACCGGAGCUAAUACCGGAUAAUAUAUUGAACCGCAUGGUUCAAUAGUGAAAGACGGUUUUGCUGUCACUUAUAGGUGGAUCCGCGCCGCAUUAGCUAGUUGGUAAGGUAACGGCUUACCAAGGCAACGAUGCGUAGCCGACCUGAGAGGGUGAUCGGCCACACUGGAACUGAGACACGGUCCAGACUCCUACGGGAGGCAGCAGUAGGGAAUCUUCCGCAAUGGGCGAAAGCCUGACGGAGCAACGCCGCGUGAGUGAUGAAGGUCUUCGGAUCGUAAAACUCUGUUAUUAGGGAAGAACAAAUGUGUAAGUAACUAUGCACGUCUUGACGGUACCUAAUCAGAAAGCCACGGCUAACUACGUG